AUUGAACGCUGGCGGAAUGCUUUACACAUGCAAGUCGAACGGCAGCACGGGGGCAACCCUGGUGGCGAGUGGCGAACGGGUGAGUAAUACAUCGGAACGUGCCCAGUCGUGGGGGAUAACGUAGCGAAAGUUACGCUAAUACCGCAUACGAUCUACGGAUGAAAGCGGGGGACCGUAAGGCCUCGCGCGAUUGGAGCGGCCGAUGUCAGAUUAGGUAGUUGGUGAGGUAAGGGCUCACCAAGCCGACGAUCUGUAGCUGGUCUGAGAGGACGACCAGCCACACUGGGACUGAGACACGGCCCAGACUCCUACGGGAGGCAGCAGUGGGGAAUUUUGGACAAUGGGCGCAAGCCUGAUCCAGCCAUUCCGCGUGCAGGACGAAGGCCUUCGGGUUGUAAACUGCUUUUGUACGGAACGAAAAGGCUCUGGUUAAUACCUGGGGCUCAUGACGGUACCGUAAGAAUAAGCACCGGCUAACUACGUGCCAGCCGCCGGGUAA
rnacentral:rRNA from 1 species